rnacentral:antisense_RNA from 1 species
AUUCUAGCACCCCAACGCCUACCUCAGCCCCCAACUCUAAAUAACUUCUUUCCACCUUGCUAAGAAUGCAAUGUUGUGAUUCACAUCAAGCUUUAGGAGGCUCCCCAUAUGUAGGGAACUGGGGUGAGGGGCAGGGCAGGAUUCACUGUUCCAGGUUACGGAGCUUUGGUUAACACGGAGAGAAGCUACACAUAGACUCACACAGUAUGCAAAUACCUAUGGAGAUACAUAAGGAAAGGCCCCGGCCUGGUUAAGGAAAAGGAGCCGAUAAAACCUCUCCAGUAUGCAUUCUUAGAAACCAGAUAUACAAAGACAAGAUCUCUGCUUUCAAGAAGCUCUCAAUCUGAUUGAGGAGAGAAACAGGUAGCAAAUAAUGACAGCAGAGCAUGGUCAUUCAACAUUUAUUCAACCAAAAAUACUAAGUCAGCUCUAUACAAACUAAUGGAAGGAUACAGCUAUGCAAAUACAGAAGAACACUAAACUGUUACAUGACAGAUGUAUGAGCAGAACUGGGAAGAAAGGACCCUGAAAAGUUAGCUUGUUCCAAGUGACCCUCCAAGG